UGAUGAUUUCGGACAGUGCAGCAGCCGCGCGCGUGUCUCCCAGUCUGCGGCUGGGCUAGAGUCCCAGUGCGGAAGGAAAACCAGCGAUUGCGAUGGAAGAGCCUGAACUAUCGGAGGAAGCAGGGGACGCCACAGUUAAAUGUCUGAGUAUAUUGGUUGAGGCAGCUGCAAACAGGGAGAAUGGUUCCUCUUCAUUCCGGGAACUUCUCACUGAGGACUAGCUGGAUUGAAAAUGGAGAACCAAGAACCAACAGAUUCUUCCCGGAAUACCAAACAGACUAUUAUUUCAGAGGAGUUAAUUUCAGAAGGAAAAUGGGUCAAGCUUGAAAAAACAACUUACAUGGAUCCUACUGGUAAAACUAGAACUUGGGAAACAGUGAAACGUACAACCAGGAAAGGACAGUCUGCUGAUGGUGUAGCAGUCAUCCCAGUGCUCCAGAGAACUCUUCAUUAUGAGUGUAUUGUUCUGGUUAAACAGUUCCGACCACCAAUGGGCGGCUAUUGCCUAGAGUUCCCAGCAGGUCUCAUAGAUGACAAUGAAAGCCCAGAAGCUGCUGCUCUUCGGGAACUGGAGGAAGAAACUGGCUAUAAGGGCGACGUUGCUGAAUGUUCUCCAGUUGUAUGUAUGGAUCCUGGUUUGUCAAACUGUACCACACACAUCGUGACAGUAACCAUCAAUGGAGAUGAUGCAGAAAAUGUAAGACCUAAGCCAAAGCCAGGGGAUGGAGGUAUGUUAUUCGACUUCCAGUUGCUGACCACUUGUAUGGCUUAGUAUAGUGAUGACGCUACAGUCAUUUUGGGUUGUUUUGGUGGGCUCUUGUUAUUUAGCUCUGUUUUCAUUUGAACUUUGUUUAUUUAGAAUUUGUGGAAGUAAUUUCUUUACCAAAGAACGACCUGCUGAAUAGACUUGAUGCUCUAGUAGCUGAAGAACAUCUUACAGUGGAUGCCAGAGUCUACUCAUAUGCUCUGGCGCUGAAACAUGCAAACACGAAGCCAUUUGAAGUGCCCUUCCUGAAAUUUUAAGGCCAAAGAGGACACUGGCCCUGUUUUUGUAAAUGAGACUACUAGGUCUUCUUCACAAAGACUUUGUAUUCAACUUAGUUUAAUGUAGAUUUGAAAUUAGUUUUUUCAUAAAAUAAAAGCAGCACAAAAUGCA